rnacentral:rRNA from 1 species
GACGAACGCUGGCGGCGUGCUUAACACAUGCAAGUCGAACGGAAAGGCCCUGCUUUUGUGGGGUGCUCGAGUGGCGAACGGGUGAGUAACACGUGAGUAACCUGCCCUUGACUUUGGGAUAACUUCAGGAAACUGGGGCUAAUACCGGAUAGGAGCUCCUGCUGCAUGGUGGGGGUUGGAAAGUUUCGGCGGUUGGGGAUGGACUCGCGGCUUAUCAGCUUGUUGGUGGGGUAGUGGCUUACCAAGGCUUUGACGGGUAGCCGGCCUGAGAGGGUGACCGGGCACAUUGGGACUGCGAUACGGCCCAGACUCCUACGGGGGGCAGCAGUGGGGAAUAUUGCACAAUGGGCGGAAGCCUGAUGCAGCAACGCCGCGUGCGGGAUGACGGCCUUCGGGGUGUAAACCGCUUUCGCCUGUGACGAAGCGUGAGUGACGGUAAUGGGUAAAGAAGCACCGGCUAACUACGUG